UACGUAGGGAGCAAGCGUUGUCCGGAUUUAUUGGGCGUAAAGAGCUCGUAGGUGGUUCAGCAAGUCGGGUGUGAAAGCUCUGGGCUCAACCCAGAGAUGCCACCCGAUACUGCUGUGACUAGAGUCAGGUAGGGGAUCGCGGAAUUCCAGGUGUAGCGGUGAAAUGCACAGAUAUCUGGAGGAACACCAGCGGCGAAGGCGGCGAUCUGGGCCUGUACUGACACUGAGGAGCGAAAGCGUGGGGAGCGAACAGG
rnacentral:rRNA from 1 species